AACAAUGACAAGCAGUUUCAUAACCGAAAGUGAAACUCUUAGGAUAGAGAAAGCGAAAGUAUAAGAUUCUCAAAGUGAAAAGGUCUGGACCCUUCUAGAAGAAACUCUGUGCAGCAGGACAUAUAAAAUUGAACUUAACACCUCAUCUCAGAAUAAAGAGAAGCUGUGCAGCAGAUGAAGUUGGAAAUGCAAAAUACACAAGAGCAUAGUCAAUCAAGCACGGAUGAAGUGAAAAAUGUCAAGGUCCCUGAAGAACAGCUGGAAGAUUCCCCUAAUCGAGUUGCUUCAGACUUCUCUACACUUGCUUUGAUACCGAGACUCCUUUAUUGGGUUUACCCUUCAGCUCCUCUCUUAGGAAUGUGGCAGUUGGUCAAAGACAUUGCGAACUGGUUGUGGAGUUUCGUCCGCUCUCCAGUCAAAGUCCAUGUACAGUUUAGUGGCCCCACCCAGAAUGCCCACCAGACAUUUAUUAACAAGCUGCACAUGUCCCUGGAAGAGAGCAGCCUGGAAGACUGCAGUGUGAUCCUGGUCUUCUGGCUGAUCGUCACCCGGAUGGGGACAGAUAUGGAGGCAGCAAUAAGAGAAAUUCCAAGUGACAAACCCGUCAUUCUGGUGCUCAUACACCACAGUUACAACCCAGACCACAUUGAUGACAUUCCGAUCAGAGCACCCAGGAGCAACGUGGUAAAAGUGAUCCAGUGUGUUUUCCAUGAGACAGUUGGACUUCUGGAGUGUGGAUUGAAUCAACGAGCAGUGAGUGGAGUGAGAUCUGAACUGAAACAGUACUGGUCAGUGUACAACAUGUACUACAAAUCGCACAAGUAAAGUAAAAUAGUUCAGUUUCACGUAUCAUAUCAGCUGAACACUUGAAUGUUCUAGUGAAGCAUGUCAUGUUAAAUCAGUCACUCGGUAACUAUAUUAGUGGUUGUGUAGCAGCUAAAGUAGACAUGUGACCUCUGUGCUGUAGGUUAUAAGCCCAGGGUCACUGCAGAUGAACCCUUGAGUAUGGCCUAUACCCUUAAGUUCCUUCAUACAUACAAUAAAUUACGCAUCGUUUCCCUCA
rnacentral:lncRNA from 1 species